GCUGGCCGCCACAUCUAUAAAUCCCUAGCUCAUGAUGGCCCCUUUGACUCUGUGGAGCCGCCUAAAAGACCCACCAGCAGACUCAUCAUGCACAGCAUGGCCAUGUUCGGAAGAGAGUUCUGCUACGCGGUGGAGGCAGCGUAUGUGACCCCAGUCCUGCUCAGCGUGGGUCUGCCCAGCAGCCUGUACAGCAUUGUGUGGUUCCUCAGCCCCAUCCUGGGAUUCCUGCUGCAGCCCGUGGUCGGAUCGGCCAGCGACCACUGCCGGUCCAGGUGGGGCCGCCGGAGACCCUACAUCCUCACCCUGGCAGUCAUGAUGCUCGUGGGCAUGGCUCUGUACCUCAAUGGGGCUACUGUUGUAGCAGGUUUUGGAGGUGCCCUGGGUUACCUUUUGGGUGCUAUAGACUGGGCCCAUCUGGAACUGGGAAGACUGUUGGGUACAGAAUUCCAGGUCAUGUUCUUCUUCUCUGCAUUGGUGCUCACUUUGUGUUUUAUUGUUCAUCUGUGCAGUAUCUCUGAAGCCCCACUUACAGAUGUUGCAAAGGGCAUUCCCCCACAGCAAACCCCUCAGGACCCUCCAUUGUCAUCAGAUGGAAUGUACGAGUAUGGUUCUAUCGAGAAAGUUAAAAAUGGUUACGUAAAUCCAGAGCUGGCAAUGCAGGGAGCAAAAAACAAAAAUCAUGCUGAACAGGUAAAGAUGCAACAUUUUUUCUUUACAAGGGAAAAUAUUCUUGCUCUUU
rnacentral:sRNA from 1 species